AAUUCCUCAAAUCCUCCAUUCUUGCCCACCCAGGGCUGGAGUGGUUGGUUUGGAUCGUUGGAGGCUUCUGCAUGCAGGCUCGUUUUGAAGGGCCUGCUCCUCUGAAAUGCAUUAGCAAUGGGCGUGGUGUUGUUGUGAACCCGUCGUUGGCAUGGUAAAAAUACUUGUUAUUUCGUGCCUCUUGACACAGGCAACCACCUCCCGUGCUUCUAAUCUGGCCACCCGAUUUCUCGGUGCCCUUGAUGACCA
rnacentral:misc_RNA from 1 species